rnacentral:rRNA from 1 species
AGUGAACGCUGGCGGUAGGCCUAACACAUGCAAGUCGAACGGCAGCACAGUAAGAGCUUGCUCUUACGGGUGGCGAGUGGCGGACGGGUGAGGAAUACAUCGGAAUCUACUUUUUCGUGGGGGAUAACGUAGGGAAACUUACGCUAAUACCGCAUACGACCUACGGGUGAAAGCAGGGGAUCUUCGGACCUUGCGCGAUUGAAUUAGCCGAUGUCGGAUUAGCUCGUUGGCGGGGUAAAGGCACAACAAGGCCACGAUCCGUAGCUGGUCUGAGAGGAUGAACAGCCAGACUGGAACUGAGACACGGUCCAGACUCCUACGGGAGGCAGCAGUCGGGAAUAUUGGACAAUGGGCGCAAGCCGGAUCCAGCCAUACCGCGUGGGGGAAGAAGGACUUCGGGUUGGAAAGUCCUUUUGUUGGGAAAGAAAAGCAGCAGGUUAAUACCCCGCUGUUCUGACGGUACCCAAAGAAUAAGCACCGGCUAACUUCGUG